rnacentral:rRNA from 1 species
AACGAACGCUGGCGGCAGGCCUAACACAUGCAAGUCGAACGCAUCCUUCGGGGUGAGUGGCGCACGGGUGAGUAACACGUGGGAAUGUAUCCUUUGGUUCGGAAUAACGUCUGGAAACGGACGCUAAUACCGGAUGAGCCCUUAGGGGGAAAGAUUUAUCGCCGAAGGAGCAGCCCGCGUCUGAUUAGGUAGUUGGUGGGGUAAAGGCCUACCAAGCCGACGAUCAGUAGCUGGUCUGAGAGGAUGACCAGCCACACUGGGACUGAGACACGGCCCAGACUCCGACGGGAGGCAGCAGUGGGGAAGAUUGGACAAUGGGCGCAAGCCUGAUCCAGCCAUGCCGCGUGAGUGAUGAAGGCCUUCGGGUUGUAAAGCUCUUUCGCACACGACGAUGAUGACGGUAGUGUGAGAAGAAGCCCCGGCUAACUUCGUGCCAGCAGCCGCCGUAAAAC